GCGCCGGUGGUCUAACGGCUACAAGGGUUUCGUUCCUUGAUCCCGAAUGACGACUCCUGUCUUCGACAAGAGUCAUCUGGGAAAAAGACUGUGGCCUUCCAAGCCACCUAUCCGAGUUCGAAUCUCGGCCGGCGCA
rnacentral:tRNA from 1 species